rnacentral:rRNA from 1 species
GACGAACGCUGGCGGCGUGCUUAACACAUGCAAGUCGUGCGGUAAGGCCCUUUCGGGGGUGCACGAGCGGCGAACGGGUGAGUAACACGUGAGCAACCUGCCCUUCCCUUUGGGAUAACUGCCGGAAACGGUGGCUAAUACCGGAUAUGACUUCCCCCCUCAUGUGGGGUGGGGGAAAGCCUUCGGGUGGUGGGGGAUGGGCUCGCGGUCUAUCAGCUUGUUGGUGGGGUGAUGGCCUACCAAGGCUUCGACGGGUAGCCGGCCUGAGAGGGUGACCGGCCACACUGGGACUGAGACACGGCCCAGACUCCUACGGGAGGCAGCAGUGGGGAAUAUUGGACAAUGGGCGAAAGCCUGAUCCAGCAACGCCGCGUGAGGGAUGACGGCCUUCGGGUUGUAAACCUCUUUCGCCUGCGACGAAGCGAGAGUGACGGUAGCAGGUAAAGAAGCACCGGCCAACUACGUG